rnacentral:sRNA from 1 species
AGUGACAUCGCCGGUGUUUGCGGGUGGUUGUUGCUCUCGGGGCCGUGUGGAGUAGGUCUGGACCUGGACUCACGGCUGCUUGGAGCGUCCGCCAUGAGGAGAAGGAAGAAGGAGAGACAACCAUCUUGCAACUAGAAAAAGAUUUGCGCACCCAAGUGGAAUUGAUGCGAAAACAGAAAAAGGAGAGAAAACAGGAACUGAAGCUACUUCAAGAGCAAGAUCAAGAACUGUGCGAAAUUCUUUGUAUGCCCCACUAUGAUAUUGACAGUGCCUCAGUGCCCAGCUUAGAAGAGCUGAACCAGUUCAGGCAACAUGUGACAACUUUGAGGGACACAAAGGUACACUGCCUACAUUUGUUCUUCCUAAAAGUCACUUUGGUUUUCCUCUAGGUAUCUUGUAAUUGCUUUGUUUUAAAGGCUUCUAGGCGUGAGGAGUUUGUCAGUAUAAAGAGACAGAUCAUACUGUGUAUGGAAGAAUUAGACCACACCCCAGACACAAGCUUUGAAAGAGAUGUGGUGUGUGAAGACGAAGAUGCCUUUUGUUUGUCUUUGGAGAAUAUUGCAACACUACAAAAGU